GCUGCUGCGCAUCAAGCUCAGGUGUGCUCCUCAGGUGCGCCAAAGUUUAAUAUCGACCCUGGACCACUCGAGCGGAUGACGGGUGUCCGAGUUUGGAUGAAAAUGCUGCGAAAAGAAGCAUUGGUUGAACUCAGAAUGCAGGGUUUUCUUCUUGUUUCUUUGUACAGGUGUGUGCAGGUGUUUCCUCGCUCUGUGCUGCAGCUCAGAGGAGGAGCUGUGCCGGCUGCAAACGGAGAACCAGCUGAAGAAGGAGGUGAAGGAGGUGCUGCAGGCGCUGGAGGAGCUCGCCGUCAACUACGACCAGAAGAGCCAAGAGGUGGAGGAGAGAGAGAGACAUGAUGGAGACGAGGACAUCAAGGAACUCUGUUAACGUCUUCCAGGAGGAUCCCCGUUGGUGGCCGUCUUCCUGCUCAGGUAGGAGACUCAAAGCUUUCUUAAUGUUGUUUUAUUAUGUUCCAGGUUUUAGGUCUUAUAGAUGUUUAGACUCAGUUAUUUUAAUCAGCUACUAAGAAGUCGAUUUAGAGUGGAGGAACAUCAACCUGGAACAUAAAACAACAUUAAGAAAGCUUUUGAGCUCCUACCCAAUGGGGCUGGAGGAUAGUGGGGGGGGGGGACUGGCUGGAUGUAACCCCCUCACCUGUGACACCUUAUUGUAUUGUGCUGAUGUAACAUGUACAAAACACAGAGGUCAUGAUGUCUGUUCAAUAUUUUAUUGUAAUAAAACUACUGCU